rnacentral:lncRNA from 1 species
AGGUGGGCAAAAGUGUUUAUAUUUGGGUUUUAAAAUGGUUAAAAUGUCUUUAUUAAAAAACACAAUUUUCUUAACACUUCAAGAGUAAAGUAAGGAUGUAAAAUAAACAUUUUUGUUUUCUUUCUACCAUCAUUAACACAUUUAAAAAUUACACAGGGGGCAUUUUGAACCUUGGUUUCUUCCAGUUUCUCACAGUAUCCAUACUUGAUCUCAAGGCUGAAGAGCUUCAUGAUGUAGCAGUGAUUUCCACCACCAUUCUCCUCCACCGUCUGAGAUUUCAUCGCUUCGCUUAAGAACUGUCCUUGAGAGGGAGUCACUGCAGAUUCACACACUAGUGAGAAUCCAUGUCUUUCCCCAGAGCCAGCCCCAGGCAAAAAUGUUGGACAGCUGAGCGUCUUCUCUCCAGCCCAGCCACUGAGGCACACAUGAAGCUCCCAUGGUGUGGGACACUGCGUGGAAAGUGAAGACGCAAAGAUGGCCAGACCUGGAAGUGCGUACACUCAUCAGCAACCAGUUCUGAAGCCCGACUUAACAGAGUUUCUGCCCGGCCUGAGCUUGUGCUGACACAUCUCAGCCCAAAUCAUCAAUUCCCAG